rnacentral:rRNA from 1 species
AUCGAACGCUGGCGGCAGGCCUAACACAUGCAAGUCGAACGAGUGGCGGACGGGUGAGUAAUGUCUGGGAAACUGCCUGAUGGAGGGGGAUAACUACUGGCAACGGUAGCUAAAACCGCAUACCAUCGGAUGUGCCCAGAUGGGAUUCGCUAGUAGGUGGGGUAAAGGCUCACCUAGGCGACGAUCCCUAGCUGGUCUGAGAGGGGGACAAUGCAAACUGGAACGAGGACACGGUCCAGAUGCCUAGGGGGGGAAGCAGUGGGGAAUAUUGCAGAAUGAGCGCAAGCCUGAUGCAGACAUGCCGCGCAUAUGACGAGGGCAUUCGGGUGGUAAAGUACUUUCAGCGGGGAGGCGUUACCCGCAGAAAAAGCAACGGCUAACUCCGUGCCAGCAGCCGCGGUAAUUC